GGACCAAUCUGUAAUUUGCAAUUCAUUUAGAUCUUCACGCGUAAUUUCUGUAUGUGUUUUAAUACGUGGAAAAAUUGUAUCAUCAUAAUGCAUCGAAUUUUCAAAAUACGAAUGUAUGAUUUGAUGUUCAAAUAAAUUAUGAUUUUUUGAUAUAAAUUUAUCUUGAAAAGUUUCAUUAACUGCAAUUGUUGUAAACGUACGAUACGGAAGAAAGACAAUUCAAGGAAUUACUUCGAAUUUCAAAUGUAUCUUUUUAUGCUACAACACGUGUAUAUUGUUAAUAACGUGAAUACAAUAUUUUAAUCUUGUUUAAAGACAUUAAAAAAGUAAUAAUAAUUAUUAAAGGAUUAAAGGAAAAGAUAGAAAGACAAAAAAGUAAGAUUUUUAAAAAAAUGAAAAAAGUGGAAUUGAUGAAAGUAUUUUAUUUUGUAUAUGGGGGAGGGGGGGGGAGAGAGAGAGAGAGAGAGAGAGAGAAAGGAAGACAACGAAGAUUUAAACAUAUAUGCUUUUAUACAUUUUUGAAAGUUUGAAUGAUGAAAAAUGCUUGCAAGAGCCGAGAAAAUUUGUAUUUCCUGACCAUUUCAUUCAAUAAUUGUCCGAAGAGUCCAAUUGCGAUAAAAAGUUUUCCAUUAAAGCUGAAUUUUGUUUAAUCAUUUCAUCGUUCCUUAAUUUAUGGCGGAUUGAUCGUGUAAUAUCCUUUCGUAAAUCCUAUAACAAU